GUAGGGAAUCUUGGGCAAUGGGCGAAAGCCUGACCCAGCCAUGCCGCGUGAGUGACGAAGGCCUUCGGGUCGUAAAACUCUUUUCUGAGGGAAGAAUGAUCCGGGGAGGCAAUGCCCCGGGUGUGACGGUACCUCAGGAAUAAGCAACGGCUAACUCCGUGCCAGCAGCCGCGGUAAUACGGAGGUUGCGAGCGUUGUUCGGAAUGACUGGGCGUAAAGGGAGCGCAGGCGGUUGGGUAAGUCGAAAGUGAAAGCCCGGGGCUUAACCUCGGAAGGGCUUUCGAUACUGCCUUACUAGAGUUCGCGAGAGGAAAGCGGAAUUCCAGGUGUAGCGGUGAAAUGCGUAGAUAUCUGGAGGAACACCGGUGGCGAAAGCGGCUUUCUGGCGCGAUACUGACGCUGAGGCUCGAAAGCGUGGGGAGCGAACGGGAUUAGAAACCCGAGUAGUCC
rnacentral:rRNA from 1 species